rnacentral:rRNA from 1 species
CUAAAGCUAAAUACCGGCCAGAGACCGAUAGCGCACAAGUAGAGUGAUCGAAAGAUGAAAAGCACUUUGAAAAGAGAGUAAAAAGUACGUGAAAUUGUUGAAAGGGAAGCGUUUAUGACCAGACUUGGGCUUGGUUAAUCAUCUGGGGUUCUCCCCAGUGCACUUUUCCAGUCCAGGCCAGCAUCAGUUUUCCCCGGGGGAUAAAGGCGGCGGGAAUGUGGCUCUCUUCGGGGAGUGUUAUAGCCCACCGUGUAAUACCCUGGGGGGGACUGAGGUUCGCGCAUCUGCAAGGAUGCUGGCGUAAUGGUCAUCAACGACCCGUCUU